AGCAGCCGCGGUAAUUCCAGCUCCAAUAGCGUAUAUUAAAGUUGCUGCAGUUAAAAAGCUCGUAGUUGAAUUUCGGAAUCGACGGAUUGGUCGCGCCUUUGGUGUGUACUGGUCUUGCCGGUUUCUCCCUUCUGACGAACCACGAUGUCAUUAAUUUGGUGUCGUGGGGAAUCAGGACUGUUACUUUGAAAAAAUUAGAGUGUUUAAAGCAGGCAUUAGCUUGAAUACAUUAGCAUGGAAUAAUGAAAUAGGACGUUUGAUCUUAUUUUGUUGGUUUCUAGGAUCGACGUAAUGAUUAAUAGGGAUAGUUGGGGGCAUUAGUAUUCAAUUGUCAGAGGUGAAAUUCUUGGAUUUAUUGAAGACUAACUACUGCGAAAGCAUUUGCCAAGGAUGUUUUCAUUAAUCAAGAACGAAAGUUAGGGGAUCGAAGACGAUCAGAUACCGUCGUAGUCUUAACCAUAAACUAUGCCGACUAGGGAUCGGAUGAUGUUAAUUUUUAAUGUACUCAUUCGGCGCCUUA
rnacentral:rRNA from 1 species